CUACCGUCAUGAAAACUCGUGAAAGUAUACAACUAACUAAUAGAGCAAGCACACAGAUGAGAAAGAGUAAGGACUCACUCAUUUUAUCAUCAAACCAUAACAAUAAGAAAGGAACAUGUUCAACAUCACUAAUUAUUAGGGAAAGGCAAAUCAAAACCACAAUGAGAUAUCAUCUUACCCCAGUUAGAAUGGCUGUUAUCAAAAAGGUAAAAAAGAACAGAUGCU
rnacentral:lncRNA from 1 species